UACGGAGGGUGCAAGCGUUGUUCGGAAUUACUGGGCGUAAAGCGCGUGUAGGUGGUUGGGUAAGUCGAAUGUGAAAGCCCCGGGCUCAACCCGGGAAGUGCAUCCGAAACUACCCGACUAGAGUCCCGGAGAGGAAGGCAGAAUUCCCAAUGUAGGGGUGAAAUCCGUAGAUAUUGGGAGGAAUACCGGUGGCGAAGGCGGCCUUCUGGACGGUGACUGACGCUGAGACGCGAAAGCGUGGGGAGCAAACAGG
rnacentral:rRNA from 1 species